rnacentral:rRNA from 1 species
AGAUUAAGUUAUUAAGGGCGCACGGUGGAUGCCUUGGCACUAGAAGCCGAUGAAGGACGUUACUAACGACGAUAUGCUUUGGGGAGCUGUAAGUAAGCUUUGAUCCAGAGAUUUCCGAAUGGGGAAACCCAGCAUGAGUUAUGUCAUGUUAUCGAUAUGUGAAUACAUAGCAUAUCAGAAGGCACACCCGGAGAACUGAAACAUCUUAGUACCCGGAGGAAGAGAAAGAAAAUUCGAUUCCCUUAGUAGCGGCGAGCGAAACGGGAAGAGCCCAAACCAACAAGCUUGCUUGUUGGGGUUGUAGGACACUCUAUACGGAGUUACAAAGGACGACAUUAGACGAAUCAUCUGGAAAGAUGAAUCAAAGAAGGUAAUAAUCCUGUAGUCGAAAAUGUUGUCUCUCUUGAGUGGAUCCUGAGUACGACGGAGCACGUGAAAUUCCGUCGGAAUCUGGGAGGACCAUCUCCUAAGGCUAAAUACUCUCUAGUGACCGAUAGUGAACCAGUACCGUGAGGGAAAGGUGAAAAGCACCCCGGAAGGGGAGUGAAAUAGAACCUGAAACCGUGUGCUUACAAGUAGUCAGAGCCCGUUAAUGGGUGAUGGCGUGCCUUUUGUAGAAUGAACCGGCGAGUUACGAUUUGAUGCAAGGUUAAGCAGUAAAUGUGGAGCCGUAGCGAAAGCGAGUCUGAAUAGGGCGUUUAGUAUUUGGUCGUAGACCCGAAACCAGGUGAUCUACCCUUGGUCAGGUUGAAGUUCAGGUAACACUGAAUGGAGGACCGAACCGACUUACGUUGAAAAGUGAGCGGAUGAACUGAGGGUAGCGGAGAAAUUCCAAUCGAACCUGGAGAUAGCUGGUUCUCUCCGAAAUAGCUUUAGGGCUAGCCUCAAGUGAUGAUUAUUGGAGGUAGAGCACUGUUUGGACGAGGGGCCCCUCUCGGGUUACCGAAUUCAGACAAACUCCGAAUGCCAAUUAAUUUAACUUGGGAGUCAGAACAUGGGUGAUAAGGUCCGUGUUCGAAAGGGAAACAGCCCAGACCACCAGCUAAGGUCCCAAAAUAUAUGUUAAGUGGAAAAGGAUGUGGCGUUGCCCAGACAACUAGGAUGUUGGCUUAGAAGCAGCCAUCAUUUAAAGAGUGCGUAAUAGCUCACUAGUCGAGUGACACUGCGCCGAAAAUGUACCGGGGCUAAACAUAUUACCGAAGCUGUGGAUUGUCCUUUGGACAAUGGUAGGAGAGCGUUCUAAGGGCGUUGAAGCAUGAUCGUAAGGACAUGUGGAGCGCUUAGAAGUGAGAAUGCCGGUGUGAGUAGCGAAAGACGGGUGAGAAUCCCGUCCACCGAUUGACUAAGGUUUCCAGAGGAAGGCUCGUCCGCUCUGGGUUAGUCGGGUCCUAAGCUGAGGCCGACAGGCGUAGGCGAUGGAUAACAGGUUGAUAUUCCUGUACCACCUAUAAUCGUUUUAAUCGAUGGGGGGACGCAGUAGGAUAGGCGAAGCGUGCGAUUGGAUUGCACGUCUAAGCAGUAAGGCUGAGUAUUAGGCAAAUCCGGUACUCGUUAAGGCUGAGCUGUGAUGGGGAGAAGACAUUGAGUCUUCGAGUCGUUGAUUUCACACUGCCGAGAAAAGCCUCUAGAUAGAAAAUAGGUGCCCGUACCGCAAACCGACACAGGUAGUCAAGAUGAGAAUUCUAAGGUGAGCGAGCGAACUCUCGUUAAGGAACUCGGCAAAAUGACCCCGUAACUUCGGGAGAAGGGGUGCUCUUUAGGGUUAACGCCCAGAAGAGCCGCAGUGAAUAGGCCCAAGCGACUGUUUAUCAAAAACACAGGUCUCUGCUAAACCGUAAGGUGAUGUAUAGGGGCUGACGCCUGCCCGGUGCUGGAAGGUUAAGAGGAGUGGUUAGCUUCUGCGAAGCUACGAAUCGAAGCCCCAGUAAACGGCGGCCGUAACUAUAACGGUCCUAAGGUAGCGAAAUUCCUUGUCGGGUAAGUUCCGACCCGCACGAAAGGCGUAACGAUUUGGGCACUGUCUCAACGAGAGACUCGGUGAAAUCAUAGUACCUGUGAAGAUGCAGGUUACCCGCGACAGGACGGAAAGACCCCGUGGAGCUUUACUGUAGCCUGAUAUUGAAAUUCGGCACAGCUUGUACAGGAUAGGUAGGAGCCUUUGAAACGUGAGCGCUAGCUUACGUGGAGGCGCUGGUGGGAUACUACCCUAGCUGUGUUGGCUUUCUAACCCGCACCACUUAUCGUGGUGGGAGACAGUGUCAGGCGGGCAGUUUGACUGGGGCGGUCGCCUCCUAAAAGG